UCAAACUGUUGAACUCAGGAGGGUCCGCCGUGAAUACAAAGCAAACAAGAUUUCCGAGGAUGAAUACAUUAAGGCUAUCAAGGAGGAAAUUAACAAGGUUGUCAAGCUCCAGGAAGAGCUUGAUAUUGAUGUCUUGGUUCAUGGAGAGCCCGAGAGGAACGACAUGGUUGAAUACUUCGGUGAGCAGUUGUCAGGUUUCGCCUUCACCGUUAACG
rnacentral:misc_RNA from 1 species